GACGAACGCUGGCGGCGUGCUUAACACAUGCAAGUCGAACGGAAGGGCCCUGCUUUUGUGGGGUGCUCGAGUGGCGAACGGGCGAGUAACACGUGAGUAACCUGCCCUUGACUUUGGGAUAACUUCAGGAAACUGGGGCUAAUACCGGAUAGGAGCUCCUGCUGCAUGGUGGGGGUUGGAAAGUUUCGGCGGUUGGGGAUGGACUCGCGGCUUAUCAGCUUGUUGGUGGGGUAGUGGCUUACCAAGGCUUUGACGGGUAGCCGGCCUGAGAGGGUGACCGGCCACAUUGGGACUGAGAUACGGCCCAGACUCCUACGGGAGGCAGCAGUGGGGAAUAUUGCACAAUGGGCGGAAGCCUGAUGCAGCAACGCCGCGUGCGGGAUGACGGCCUUCGGGUUGUAAACCGCUUUCGCCUGUGACGAAGCGUGAGUGACGGUAAUGGGUAAAGAAGCACCGGCUAACUACGUG
rnacentral:rRNA from 1 species